rnacentral:lncRNA from 1 species
CUGAUAAAUCAACUAAUGUCUAUCUCAACAUGAUUGAUGCAGUUGUCGUAAUGUUAGCUUCUUUAGCUUUUUCGACCAGUGCUGAAGGGACUGAUGGACAACUUUGGAAGUGUGAGAUUCUUCAGACUGCAGAGUGCGUUUUAUGUAUCCGAUUUAAAUUACCCAGCUACCAGCUAGCUUCCUGAUUCCACAUACUCUGUUCAGAAUUUGUUCGUGAUCAAGUUUCUUUGUACAGCUACCCUUAAAACAGUAUUUCAGAAGAUGAAAAUUGCAUGCGACAGGUAGAUGGACACCUUUGCUUGUUUCUAUUUUUUUUUUUUUUUUCUGCUAUGCAAGUUUGAUAUCAUUAAACUGUGAUAAUUACAUGUGAUUAUAAAAUGUGAGCUCUACGCUCCGCAUGGUUCAACUGAACCUAAAAUACAAAGUAGGUUCCUGCUCUAAGCCUCUAUGGCUCUAACCUCCUAACCCAAGUUGGAAUACCCCCGAUCACUAUCAUUUCAUUGUAGUUUAGAGUGGAACUUUUCUUGGCAGCCUGAUCAGCACCAAAGUUACAUUCUGCAAAUAGAAUUAAGUACCAAAGUGGGUACCCUUUUCAAGUACUGCCGACAUCUUGUUUUCAGCACCCAAGCCAUUUCCUCUGUUUUGAAAGAUGCCACAGCUGCCUGUGAAUCUGAGUCAAUGAUCACAUAAUUCCAUCCUCUAUUCAUUGCUAUUUGUACUCCAGAAGGCCACAACACUCACCUUUGUGACUAGUAGUCACUCCCAAGCCUUUACUGACAGCUUCACUACUCCUGCAUCAUCCUGGACAGUGCUCCCCAGCCUGCAUUUCCUGGACACCCUCAUGCUGCUCCAUCCAUAUUAAUUUUGAUUUUGCCCCUUGGUGGAGGAGACAACUGACAUUCCUUUAGGUUUGGAGCCUAGGAGGCCUCAUAGUUAUAUCCCAUUUCCUGCAAAUGAGUAAGUCUGUCAGACUGUUCUGAUUGGUGGCUGUACACAGUUGCACUUUGCAGAACUGAGAUUAAUAAGACUUCUCUGUUUGCAGCACUGCCAGUGUUUCAUGAUGAGGAGGACGAGAGAUGGACUCAAUCCGACCGUUAGAUGGACUGUUGGCAAUGCUUAUGAACUUUUUCGACCAAAAUUACCCACUCCAACAAGCUUGAAAAACCCUUCAUUUGAAAAGGCCUACUACAAACAGUUCAGUAACUAACAUGUGCUUUGGU